UUCAUAAGCAGGAUGUUGGGCCACAAAGAAGACAGCAUUUAUGUACCUUGAUGACACCUAGAGGAGACAACACCCAUACAAACAAGAAGGGAUCUACUUUCCUCAUAAUGUAAGAGAAAGAAGGUAUUAAAAGAAAAAAGAAGAAGCUUCCAAGGAUUAUCAUGGCCUUGAUGAGUCAACAGAUCCUGAUAACAGACAGGAGAUGACCUUGCUGGACUCGGCAAGGGAUCAGUCAACGCAAGAGUCUAUGCUGCCUGCUGUGGGUAAGCAGGACAGAAAUGUGACUGGGGCCACCCCACCCCUUUUACCUUCUGUGCUUCCCCCACCCUCCACUACAUCAAGUUGCC